rnacentral:rRNA from 1 species
GUCUACGGCCAUGCUACCCUGAACAAGCCCGAUCUCGUCUGAUCUUGGAAGCUAAGCAGGGUUGAGCUUGGUUAGUACUUGGAUGGGAGACCACCUAGGAAAACCAGAUGCUGUAGACG